rnacentral:rRNA from 1 species
CGGCGAGUGAAGCGGCAAUAGCUCAAAUUUGAAAGCUGGCCCCUUUGGGGUCCGCGUUGUAAUUUGUAGAGGAUGAUUCGGCGAGGGCUCCCGUCUAAGUCCCCUGGAACGGGGCGUCAUAGAGGGUGAGAAUCCCGUAUGUGAUGGGUUGCCUUAGCCAUGUGAAUCUCCUUCGACGAGUCGAGUUGUUUGGGAAUGCAGCUCUAAAUGGGAGGUAAAUUUCUUCUAAAGCUAAAUACCGGCCAGAGACCGAUAGCGCACAAGUAGAGUGAUCGAAAGAUGAAAAGCACUUUGGAAAGAGAGUUAAAAAGUACGUGAAAUUGUUGAAAGGGAAGCGCUUGCAGCCAGACUUGUCCGCAGUUGCUCAGCCGGUCUCCUGACCGGCGUACUCUUCUGCGGCCAGGCCAGCAUCAGUUCGGGCGGUCGGAUAAAGACCCUAGGAAUGUAGCUCCUCUCGGGGAGUGUUAUAGCCUGGGGUGGAAUGCGGCCAGCCUGGACUGAGGAUCUCGCUUCGGCUAGGAUGCUGGCGUAAUGGCUGUAAGCGGC